rnacentral:rRNA from 1 species
GACGAACGCUGGCGGCGUGCUUAACACAUGCAAGUCGAACGGAAAGGCCCUGCUUUUGUGGGGUGCUCGAGUGGCGAACGGGUGAGUAACACGUGAGUAACCUGCCCUUGACUUUGGGAUAACUUCAGGAAACUGGGGCUAAUACCGGAUAGGAGCUCCUGCUGCAUGGUGGGGGUUGGAAAGUUUCGGCGGUUGGGGAUGGACUCGCGGCCUAUCAGCUUGUUGGUGGGGUAGUGGCUUACCAAGGCUUUGACGGGUAGCCGGCCUGAGAGGGUGACCGGCCACAUUGGGACUGAGAUACGGCCCAGACUCCUACGGGAGGCAGCAGUGGGGAAUAUUGCACAAUGGGCGGAAGCCUGAUGCAGCAACGCCGCGUGUGGGAUGACGGCCUUCGGGUUGUAAACCGCUUUCGCCUGUGACGAAGCGUGAGUGACGGUAAUGGGUAAAGAAGCACCGGCUAACUACGUG